UGACCGAGCCCACUCGCCCUAGAGCCUUCGCGCACACACCUCCGGCCUCUCUCGCGCGCGCGUCCCCGGCGCUGGUCCCUUCGCCGGCGGCGGCCUAUCUCCUUCGCCACGACGGAAGAAGCUUCUACAUAAUCUGAGCUUAAUUCCUCCUUCUCGACUAGGUCUGAUUUGCGUGACAGUAAGCUAACAUAAAGACAUGGACCUUCACAAGGAAGUCAGUGCUGCUAAAUUAACUGAUGAUCUAGUGGUUGAUAUCCUCUCCCGGUUGAAUUACAAGUCUUUUUGCCGCUGCAAGUGUGCCUAUAAGGCAUGGUCUGCUUACUCCUCUGAUCCAGACUACCGCCAGAAGCUGCCCAAACCCACUGGCCUUUUGUACCAAGGCCACAAUAAGUCUGCUAUCUCGCUUGUUAGCCUGUCCCAAGACGAUGGAGAAGUCGGUGGAAUUCUUGCUUACGUGCCACAUUAUGAGCAUUUAGAAUUUCUUGACUGCUACAAUGGUCUUAUCCUUUGUAAGUACAGGAGCAGCUAUACUUCUCCAGGCAUUUGCCGCUUUGUUGUGUGCAACCCAGCAACACGAGAGUGGAGAAUACUUCCUGAUACAC